UCCACCUAUUUCCUUUCCUUUCUCUCGUUACGUUGAACUCGGGACUGGGUGGUAAUGUCCUUGGAUGAAUGCUCUUCAACUGACAUUUUUAGAGUUUCCUUGUGGCGGGUUUUGAUUUGUCGACGUGAAAGAAAGGGUGAAGGACAAACCGAUGUUAUUACUAAGGUGGGCGAUGGGUUGCUUUCUCCCCCGAUUUCUAGGGGUACCGUUCGAUUGGGAUAUGGGAGCAGCACAAGCGAUGAAGAGUAUCUCCUUCCUAAUUGCAUUACCGUUGUCGGUGUUCUCUAGAAUGCAUUUCACAAGUUCAUCGGUCAACAAGUUUCCAUUUUCUGCUCGAGUCGUACACUGGCUUGCAAUGAAGCUUGAAUUUAACAAAAUUUGCAGUUGCCACGUCAUGAACCUUCCAUGGUCAAGAAAGCUUUCAACCAUUUCUUACAGAAGCAUGAAGGUGAUAUAACGAUUAAUGAUGUUCGAUGUGUUGCUGCUGAUUUUCAUGCUAGAUAUAAAGCUGAAGAACGCACGUAGUUCUACUGGAUUCUAUCAGGUCUGGAACAUUUAUCGACUUUUGAGAAACGUCCGCAAUGCAGGUUUGUUUGAUAUUUUGUCCAUGAAGUAUAAGUUUAUGUUUUACAUUAGUUUCAGGGAUUAUUAAUUCAAAGUAUAAUUUGUUGAUGAAGAAAGCUUCCAAAGUUCUUGUGGGACUACAUGAUUUCAGUUCUUUUCAAGCUUCUGGACUAAUAGCAAUGUACAAAUAGAUGAGAAUCUCCCAACCAAAUUUCUUUACUAAUAAGAUAACAAUACUUGAUGCCUAAAUUAAACUUUUUUACAAAAGUUCCUGUAAUGUAAAAAUGGUUAAGGGGGAAUUAUAACAAACCUUUCUGGUUGUGAUGACAA